AGAGUUUGAUCCUGGCUCAGAUUGAACGCUGGCGGCAUGCUUUACACAUGCAAGUCGAGCGGCAGCGCGGGGGCAACCCUGGCGGCGAGCGGCGAACGGGUGAGUAAUGCAUCGGAACGUACCCCGCAGUGGGGGAUAACCCAGCGAAAGCUGGGCUAAUACCGCAUAUGCUCUACGGAGGAAAGUGGGGGACUCGCAAGGGCCUCACGCUAUGGGAGCGGCCGAUGUCCGAUUAGCUAGUUGGUGGGGUAAUGGCCCACCAAGGCGACGAUCGGUAGCUGGUCUGAGAGGAUGAUCAGCCACACUGGGACUGAGACACGGCCCAGACUCCUACGGGAGGCAGCAGUGGGGAAUUUGGACAAUGGGGGCAACCCUGAUCCAGCCAUGCCGCGUGCGGGAAGAAGGCCUUCGGUUGUAAACCGCUUUUGGUCGGGAAGAAAAGGCAACUCCUAAUACGAGGUGUUCUUGACGGUACCGGCAGAAUAAGCACCGGCUAACUACGUG
rnacentral:rRNA from 1 species